ACAUCUCGUUUCCUGUUUCUUCGCAAAAACAAAUCUAUAAUUGUCACCGCAUCGAGUGUUGGUUGAAUCGAAAUCACGGAAUCUAGGAAAAAGAACAGAAGAGAUUAAUUAAAUUAAAUGAAAGGAAAUGGAAUUUAAAGAAGAGGGGUUUCCAGUGAACUUGUGUCUGUGGGAUGAGCUGUCCUUUUGAGUUUCUGUCUCCAUGUAAUAAUAAUAUCUAUGGUCUGACGGUGAGAGUGGUUUUAUUCAAAUGACGUUUUUACCCUUCUCGAGUAAGCAGACGUUGUUGUGAUGUGCUGGAGGAACGCUUUUGGUUUGGGGGUAAAUGCAUCAAUCAAUGACGACGUGAUGAAGCGAUAGAUAGCCGUUAGUGUGUUAUGGUGAGGUACGGGUUCAGUGCAGUAUUCAUUCUGUGGCGGAGUUAUUAUUAACUCUUUUCAUUUCUUCUUUUCACUCAAUCUGGACCCUAACAUUUGCUUAUUUGUUGUUUAACAUAAUUUGUUUGUGUUUUAGAUAUGGAUAUAUCCCUCUUGUAACACGUAUUUAAGUGAAUAAAUAAACACUUUUUGUUAGAAAAAAGUACCAAAAGUUCGGUUUGCUCUUAAAUUUAUUUAGCGAUGAAUUGAGAGAGAAUAACUUUUUGGUGUGGCCUCGAAUAUUUUAGGAUUUUUUUACUUUAUAAGACACUUUUCGUCUUAUGUUUUACACCUUUAGACACUUUCUGCUGGCUAGACACAUUAUGUCUCUCUAAUGUCCUUCAUACCCUCAAUUUUGAUCAGACCAAACUAACCUAACCAGAAACAACUAACCAUGAUUAUAUUCUCUCAUUUCUACUCUCUACACUCUCCUCUCUCCUCUCUCCUCUCACCUUCAAAACGUAGAUCUACUUUCCCUUUCACAAAUUUCCAAGCCUAAUUUCAUAUCUCUUUCCAAUUCUGAUUUCAAAUCUCAAAUCUACUUUUACUUUUCCAAAUCCCCUAAUUCUAAUUUCAAACUCUCUUCUUCUUCCUAACUCAACCUUUCUCUGGAAAAUUUUGUUUUUCUCUGUUUUUUUUUUUACUUUCUCAAUAAUAAUAUCACAAACCUCAUAAAUUCAUAGAUCUUUCUCUCGGUAAUUUUUAAGAGCUUGUUUCUUUGACCAAACCAACUCUACCUUCCAAUCUAUCUCUGAGCUCGAUCCCUUGCGCUCACUACGACAUAGAAACGUCAAGUUAGCACCAGUGAAAAGGAGAUGUGGAGGAGCAAGGGGAAGAAGAAGACAAGAAAGUUGCGUUUGAAUGUGUGACGACGGCACCUCUCUACUUCAGCGGAGGACGACUGAACCUGUGCGACGACAAACGCAGAGUAGGGCUGAAAUUGGAGAAGUUCAUGAAGCUGAUGAUGUCAACGAGUUUGAUCUGCUGCUAGUUGGUGAUUUGGGUCAUGCUAGAGAGUGAGAGCACCAAUGGUGAAUUUUCAGUUUUUUUUUUUAAUUUGUGGUCCCUCAUGUUUUGGUUAUUCACGCUUUCACCCAAUAUUUUUAAAAUGUGCAAAACAUUUUCUUGAUUUAGAUGAGAUAAACACAUCCACAUCCGUACCUCACAUUUUGGUUUGAGUCAUUGUCUCUAGACCUUUGUUUUCUCUUUCAAGUAAUGAAAACACUUUUGUCUACAAAUUUUUAUCUACACAUGUCGUCCACAUCCACAUAUUUAGUUCAUGUCCAUGUCGACAUAUUUGUUUUUGUAAACGUUGAUAUAUAUACAUAUAUGAUAUAUAUAAAAUGAUGUCAAAAAUAGAAAAUUAUAUAUAUAAAUUAUUGUAAUAGUAUAUUCAUUUUAUAACUCUUAAAAAUUUGAAAUAAAAUCAAUUGAAAACAUUAGGUGGUAUAAACAAUAAUAAAAUAAAGAACCAAUCAUUAAAAAAAAAAAGAUCUCAUCCACUAACACAAACAUUAAAAUACAAUUGAAAACAUUAGAUGUGUCCAUGUCCACAUUUUUUCUAUAUACACGGUUAUUUAUUGUUGAUAUGAUUUUUUCAUAUUUAGAUUGCAAAAAUAUACUAAAAUGGAUCUAAAAAUGUAAAGAACAAAAAGAUAAAAUUUAUGAUAUCAAAAAUUUAUUUAGUUAUUUACUUUAAUAUGUUAAAAUAAUCACAUAAAGAAAUAGAAAGGAUUGAUAAAGUAAUAUUUAAAAAAGGAAAACAUAUCAUAUGAUCAUAUCCAUCCACAAUAGUUGGAUGUACACAAUUACAAUGUUUCUAUCCACAACUCUUUUGUCCACAUUUUUCAUUUGUAUCUUUUGAAAUAUAACAAGAAAACAUAUCAAAAUGGAUAUCAAAUUAUAGAGAAUAAAAAAACAUAAUUUAGUAUAUCAAACAAAUUUGUCAAAUAUAUCCUUAAAUUUAAAAUAAACAAAACAAACUAAAACUAAGUAAAACAAACAAUAAUAAUUAAAAAAAGAAAGAAACAUGUCUUUUCAUUUGGUUUGGUUUGAGGAGAUAUAAAAUACGAAUAAAAAAAAGUGACCCAACUACUAUAGUUAAAAUU